rnacentral:rRNA from 1 species
GCUUAGCCUUAAACCUAGAUGUACUAUUACAUACACAUCCGCCAGGGUACUACGAGCAUAGCUUAAAACCCAAAGGACUUGGCGGUGCCUCAGACCCACCUAGAGGAGCCUGUUCUAGAACCGAUAAUCCUCGUUAAACCUCACCACUUCUUGUUUUACCCGCCUAUAUACCGCCGUCGUCAGCUUACCCUGUGAAGGUUCCCGCAGUAAGCGAAACUGGUCAACCCAAAAACGUCAGGUCGAGGUGUAGCGUACGAAGUGGGAAGAAAUGGGCUACAUUUUCUAAUAAUAGAUUAUCACGAAUAGCAUGCUGAAACGCGUGCCUAAAGGUGGAUUUAGCAGUAAAAAGUAAAUAGAGCGUUCUUUUGAAUCCGGCUCUGAGGCGCGC